AUGCUAUGUAAAUGUGGAUGUGGUGCAUGUAGAGAGGACGGGAUUGUGAUGAGGAGGAAUAGAACUUCCUCCGUUCCACUUCCUUGUUGAGUCUCAUGGAAGAUCCAGAAAACACGUGUUCCAAAUAAAUAAUUGGUUAAUGGCAACAGCUAUAAAUUCAAGUUUAUGAAAUAUCUGAAAUGAAGGCAAUUUCUUAUUGUUAUAUGAGAGUUUUUCCUGCUUUAUUAAAGGAAGGAUCCAUAAAGGCAUCAGAUUCAUAUUCGUAACUUUUAUUGUUCUGCAUCUUCCAUCUAUUGAAUUUGAUUUUAUUGAAGAUGAUUUCAACAUCAUUAUCAAAGAAAACAAUGGAUUGGCCACUGCUGCUGAUGCCAAAUUCAGGCUUAUCUUCUUCUCGUAGUAUGGAAAAUUCUUGUGGCCUUUGAAAAAUGUAAUUGACUUCUUGUUCAGAAAAUGACGUAUGAUUUUUACCUAUUGCAACUGAUUACAAAAAUGACAAAUUAAUAUUAUUUGAAAUAAGCAAUUGCUUGAUAAAAGUUAGUACACCAGGUACCUGCAAAGUUCAUUUCCAGAACAAGAAGUUAAGUGUAUUGCUGCGUUAUUAAUUUGAACGAAAAUCUUCCAUGUAUAACUACAGCAAAAGAAAAUUUAAACUGUCCUUAGUGCAUACCUUUUAAAUAGUGAUAGUAAAACUGGAUGAUAUUAAAAGUAACUUUGUUUUUAUAAUUUACAGGAAAAAAAAACUUAUCAUUUUACCAGUAUGGUAUUAUUUUUGAAUUUAAAUAUUGAUCUGUAUAUUAUAAAUCAUAAAAUUAAAACUCGUAUAUAAAAUUAAAUGUUUAUAAUUUUCCAAAAAACCUUUCAAAAUUGUCAAUAUAUUUUAUUUUUGGCAUUUUUUAAUGAGCAACAAUAUUCAAAUAUUUACCAAUGAAUAUCUGAGAAUUGUUGAAGAUUUUACAUAUGAAAUCUAUAUUUGGAGUUAUAUUUUAUGUUUUAAAGAUUUUUGGCGGACCAUUGUCGUUUUAUUGUCUGUCCUCAUGCUUGAAAGCUCAUUUCGUUAUUAUAUUUCAAAACCUUUUCGUUCAGUUUAUUCUUUUCGAGGUGCAAGGACUUAGGUUUAUUUAUUAAGAAAAUGUCUAAAUCUCCGUUUUGUUUUCAUUUUCUUUCAUGAAUAGAAACAAAAUUACCUGAAAUCAGCUAUAUUAUUUACUUUUGUAUCACCAAAUCUUCAUAUUAUUAUCUUUUAUUUAAACAAAAUGGGGGGGGGACAUGGUAAAAUUAGCAGAAAUAUGGAAUAGAUAAAAAAAAUUACGAUCUUCUCAAAAUAAUUAAGAAUUAACAACUAAUUGCAACUAUUUACUUUGCGUUUUUUUAAAGGACAAAGAAUAUCACAGAAUUAACUUAGGAAUUGAUAAUUAUGAAUUUUUCAAACCAAAAUUCUCAUAAAAACCUAUACAUGCUUUUAUACACACAGAAAAUAAUUGAUUUCUAAGUUAUUGAUGUAUUUUUAAAUUUUUUUAUUUGUAUUCUUAAAGAGGCAGUAGAUUUAAUGUUUUCAAUAUUUAUGCAUAAUGAUUGUCGCAUAUUGAAUAUGAUCCUUCCAGGAAAAGAAUUAUUCAGCAUGUUUCACUGUAAAGUAAGAUAUUGUGCAGUAGUGUGUAAUAUCUAAAAAUAUUGUGUAAUAUCAUAUUUAAUUUUAUACUGCCUGAGUAGAUGUGAAAAACCGGUUUAACAUCUAAGCCUAUGAUUUAUUGUAUUAUUCUAUUUUUCUUAUAUGAUCAGUAACUCUUCUUUCUGAGAAAUACAGCUUAUAGAAAUACCCAAGUUCCUUUUUAAUUAUUCUUUAAAAAUAUAACAAUAUUUCAAUUUACCUUAAUUAUGAAGCGUAGGCUCUUAGGAAAAAGCGGUUGAUCUUCGAUUUCUUGCAAACGAAGGCAUUUGCUGAGAGGGAGGAUGAUAUUGUAUGAAUAACAUCAUUUUUUUUUUCUGGACUUGUUCGUUGUUAAGCACUUUUCUCCCUAGUAGUAAAUGCACUUGUCUGCAUGAAAAUAGGCCAGGUGAUCUCUUUCCUGAAAGCUGGGGAAUGCCAAAUCACCUUUGACACAGUAGAAAUCCGUCAUAAUCUCAAAUCCGUUGCUACUUGAUGAUACCUUAACGAAUCUUUUGGUCAAUAUAUAAAUGAGCGAGAAAGGAAACAAACAAAAAUACACAAACACAGUGUUGCCACUUAAAUAGCUAAAAAUUAACUAUAUUCAAUCAUAUUUAUCUCGCUCUUAACAACUGAUGUAAUUCUUUUGGGUGUGUGUCUCAAUACCUUCAAUGUAUACUAUUAUUUAAUUUCCUAUUCUGCCUGUUUCCCUUCGAUGCCGGCGCCAUUGGUACCUGCUUAGAAAAAAAAAUGAAUCUUUGAAUAUCAGCAUUCCUUCUCGAAUAUUUCCAAUAUCAUCAUCUUCUGCAUCGUACCUUUACUUUCAUUUCUCAAAAAUCAUCCGUCAUAUUAAUAAAUGGAUUUCAAGGAUUAUCUUGUGAGUUGAAGCUUGCAUUUUACAUAUAAACAACUUUUUUUUCUUUUAAAAGCAGUCUUUCAAAGUUAUAUAUACAUCAAUGACGAUAUUCUUUCCGUGAUUUCGACACCUUGCGCAUUUUGCAUUGCAUGUAGAGAGGUAAGUUUCGAGUUUCCGCCAGGAUUUCUUUGAGCAUAGAAGGGUUAGAUUGCCAGAAAUAGGAUGCUUUGGUGGCCAGUAGAGAGAUAGAGAGGGAGAAUGCAUAAAAGCUAUUUUUGCACAUGUCAAUUUGAGACUUGAUCCUAAAUUUUCUUGAGAGUAGGUAUUCCAUUUUUUUUAUCUGCUCUAAACCGUGAUCCCAGGAUUCUGCGAAGAAUUAUCGAUGUAGUAAACUGUUACCGUGAAGCCAGUAUUUUGUACAACUUUAACAAUGCUGCAUAUCUUUUACUUUUUUGUUAAAACUAUUCUAAACAGUUACCAUUUAAAUUAUUCAGCCAAUGCAGAUACAAGAAAUUUGUACAUAAUUCCACUUGUCGAUUAAUAAUUUCAUUUAAAAAUGAAAAUUCCUUUGAGCCAAUAUGACAAAGAUCUUCGUCAUAUUUGCAUCUUGUAUAUCAUUAGUAAUAUUAUAUUCAUUCUAGCAUUCUCCUAUUGAGGUUUUUUUUUUUAAAUGCUGUAUUUAUCAACGCUACAGUUUUACAACAAAAAAAGUUCAAUAUGACGAUUCCCGUUUCUAGACUAAUUUUAAGUCAUAAUAUAAAUUUGAAGAAAGAUAUGCAUGAAGAUAUAUAUUGUCAUAUUUAUGAGAAGUUUUCAUCCUGAUGACUUUUACAUUACCGUGAAGCCAGCAUUUUGGACAUUUUUUUCUUAAACGUGAUUCCAAUAUUUUACAUAUUUUCGGUACAUAGACUUUUUCUGAAGUCGUUGUUAUAGAAUUUAUACACCAAGAUUUCUAUUCUCUGCGAUAUAAUUACUAAGAAUUUGGCAUCUAAUAUUAAUUGGUGUGCACUAGUUUUUUUUUUCUUUUAGAAUAAGUGCACUAUUUAAACAAAUACACAUAAAAUCUUUGCGAUGCUAUUACCGUGAUUCCUACAUCUUGCAUAUUUCCUAUGCAUAUAACUUUUCCUGAAGACUGGUACAAUGGUGAUUGCGUUCCAUCGCCUAGGAAACAUCUUUGUUGUGCUUUAAAAGUGGUUGGUGCAUAAUUUGAAAUAUUAAAAAACUCUUCUUUGUGCCAUUCGAUGAUUCAGUUUUGUUGAGGGUGGUAUAUUAUAUUAUAUUAUAAGAAUUAUCGAUGUAGUAAACUGUUACCGUGAAGCCAGUAUUUUGUACAACUUUAACAAUGCUGCAUAUCUUUUACUUUUUUGUUAAAACUAUUCUAAACAGUUACCAUUUAAAUUAUUCAGCCUAAUAUGGCUGAAUAAUUACUCUUAAAUACUGCAGUAUAGGUGCCAACCUAUAUAUUUGUAUAGAUGAGGCACAUGGAAAGAGAAAGCAUUUCAUGGUCCAAACAAAACUCGUAGCUUGAUUCCUAAAUUAUGCAAAUUUUAGUUCGUACAAGAUUUUUAUAUGUUCUUUCAGUGGAUUGAUGCAAUGAAAAUCUGUGCGACACUAGUACCAUGAUCUUCACUUUUGCAUAGUUUGGUGUUUAUUAAACUGUUCUUUUUUUAUGCCAUUCGAUGAUUCUGUCAUGUUGAGGGUGGUCCAGAUAGAAAAGUAAGCACACGAUGAUUGAAGCAAAAGUUGCGAUACUCUUACCGUGAUUCCUACAUCUUGCAUAUUUUAGGUUCAAGCCGAGUUCUUCUUUUUGAGGCCAUCGCAGUGGAGCUUAGGUUUAAUACAAAAUCUUGGCGAUACUAUUACCGUGAUUCCUACAUCUUGCAUAUUUUAGGUUCAAGUCGAAUUCUUCUUUUUGAGGCCAUCGCAGUGGAGCUUAGGUUUAAUACAAAAUCUUGGCGAUACUAUUACCGUGAUUCCUACAUCUUGCAUAUUUUAGGUUCAAGUCGAAUUCUUCUUUUUUGAGGCCAGCGCAGUAGAGCUUAGGUUUAAUAUAAAAUCUUGGCGAUACUAUUACCGUGAUUCCUACAUCUUGCAUAUUUUAGGUUCAAGUCGAAUUCUUCUUUUUUGAGGCCAGCGCAGUUGAGCUUAGGUUUAAUACAAAAUCUUGGCGAUACUAUUACCGUGAUUCCUACAUCUUGCAUAUUUUAGGUUCAAGCCGAAUUCUUCUUUUUUGAGGCCAGCCUAGUAGAGACAAAAUUUUUACGAUACUAUUACCGUGAUUCCUACAUCUUGCAUAAUUUCACAGCACUUCAGACUAGCGUAGUAAAUCUUUUACGUCAUGUUAUAAGGAAAAGCUUUUCGUCACAUUACCAUGAUUCUUACAUCUUGCAUAAUUUUGUGCAUAAGAGACUCUUCCUUGUUUAUGCCAUUCGAUGAUUCAGUCUUGUUGAGGGUGGCUCAGUUGAAGAGAAAGCGCAUAAGAAUUUAGGCAAGAUAUACGAUACUCUUACCUUGAUUUCUACAUCUUGGAUAUUUCGAUAUAGGAAAUUCUUUUGAAGCUCGACACUAUGGAGUUUGGGUUUAAUGCCAAAUCUUAGCGACACUAUUACCGUGAUUCCUUCAUCUUGCAUGAUUUUGAUGUAUUUUUAAAUUUUUGCAGAGGAACUCGCAGAUCAUGAUUUAAAAAAAAAAAAAAAAAAAAAAAAUGUGACAUAUUGUUUUGACAUUUCGUCAGAAACAUUUUGUUUAUGUAAAUCGAUAGUUCAGUCUUUUUGUGGGAGGUGUAAAUAGAAUAAUUUAAUUCGUGUAAUGAGACACUUUGUGCCAUUCGAUGAUUCUGUUAAGUUGAGGGUGGUCAGUAGAAGAGUAAAAUCGAUUUAGACGUGUUUUUUUUUUUUUUUUAGUCACCUCAUAAUUUUUUCAUCUUGCAUACUGUCAAUACAGUUCAAUUUGUACGGUAUAAUACAAGAAAAUUCUUAGCAGUACAUUAUCAUAAUAUUUAAAUUUAUAUAAUUUAAUAUAUAUCAGAAUGUUUUUCUUCCAUUAUUUUCGAUGCAUCAGUUUUGUUGAGGAUACUGGAAAUAGAAGGGCAUGCAUGCAUUUCAUGAUUCAUGCGGAAUCCUGGCAAUUCAAUUUCCAUAAUUUUGAGUAAUUUCAAGGCGUAUCAAGCUUUAUUUGAUACAAAGAAGAAAUCUUGUAAAUUAUGACUGAA